ensembl:lncRNA
GUGUGAGUGAGAUAAAUGACAGGGCCGCAUUUCACCCUCAUGUGACAAUAUACUCACUCAGAAAAGAGGCGUGGCCACAGAGGCCGUUCAGUGAAGGAGGUGUGGCCUGGGUGUAUCAGUUACAGUGAAGGAGGUGUGACCUGUGUGCCUCAGUUACAGUGAAGAAGGCGUGACCUGUGUAUAUCAGUUACAGUUAAGAAGGCGUGGCCUCUGUAUCAGUUAUAGUGUAGUGGGCGUGGCCGGUGUGUAUCAGUUACAGUGAAGGAGGUGUGGCCUGUGUGCAUCAGUUAAAGUUAAGAAGGCGUGGCCUCUGUAUCAGUUAUAGUGUCGUGGGCGUGGCCUGUGUGUAUCAGUUACAAUGAAGGAGGUGUGACUUCUGUGUCCGACCAUCUCAGUGAAGUAGGUGUGGCCCCAUAUCUGUCUGUUAAGGGAAGUAGGUGUGGCCCGAUAUCUGUCUGUUAAGUGAAGUAGGUGUGGCCCCAUAUCUGUCUGUUUAGUGAAGUAGGUGUGGC